rnacentral:rRNA from 1 species
UUUGCGUCGAAGGUAUACCGGUAAGGAGUGCUGGAGCGAAUAGAAGUGAGCAUGCAGGCAUGAGUAGCGAUAAUUAAUGUGAGAAUCAUUAACGCCGUAAACCCAAGGUUUCCUACGCGAUGCUCGUCAUCGUAGGGUUAGUCGGGUCCUAAGUCGAGUCCGAAAGGGGUAGACGAUGGCAAAUUGGUUAAUAUUCCAAUACCAACAUUAGUGUGCGAUGGAAGGACGCUUAGGGCUAAGGGGGCUAGCGGAUGGAAGUGCUAGUCUAAGGUCGUAGGAGGUUAUACAGGCAAAUCCGUAUAACAAUACUCCGAGAACUGAAAGGCUUUUUGAAGUCUUCGGAUGGAUAGAAGAACCCCUGAUGCCGUCGAGCCAAGAAAAGUUUCUAAGUUUAGCUAAUGUUGCCCGUACCGUAAACCGACACAGGUGGGUGGGAUGAGUAUUCUAAGGCGCGUGGAAGAACUCUCUUUAAGGAACUCUGCAAAAUAGCACCGUAUCUUCGGUAUAAGGUGUGGUUCGCUUCGUAUUAGGAUUUACUCCGAAAGCGAAGAAACUUACAACAAAGAGUCCCUCCCGACUGUUUACCAAAAACACAGCACUCUGCUAACUCGUAAGAGGAUGUAUAGGGUGUGACGCCUGCCCGGUGCUCGAAGGUUAAUUGAUGGGGUUAGCAUUAGCGAAGCUCUUGAUCGAAGCCCGAGUAAACGGCGGCCGUAACUAUAACGGUCCUAAGGUAGCGAAAUUCCUUGUCGGUUAAAUACCGACCUGCAUGAAUGGCGUAACGAGAUGGGAGCUGUCUCAAAGAGGGAUCCAGUGAAAUUGUAGUGGAGGUGAAAAUUCCUCCUACCCGCGGCAAGACGGAGAGACCCCGUGGACCUUUACUACAGCUUGACACUGCUAUUUGGAUAAGAAUGUGCAGGAUAGGUGGGAGGCUUUGAGUAUAUGACGCCAGUUGUAUAUGAGCCAUUGUUGAGAUACCACUCUUUCUUAUUUGGGUAGCUAACCAGCUUGAGUUAUCCUCAAGUGGGACAAUGUCUGGUGGGUAGUUUGACUGGGGCGGUCGCCUCCCAAAUAAUAACGGAGGCUUACAAAGGUUGGCUCAGAACGGUUGGAAAUCGUUCGUAGAGUAUAAAGGUAUAAGCCAGCUUAACUGCAAGACAUACAAGUCAAGCAGAGACGAAAGUCGGUCUUAGUGAUCCGGUGGUUCUGUGUGGAAGGGCCAUCGCUCAAAGGAUAAAAGGUACCCCGGGGAUAACAGGCUGAUCUCCCCCAAGAGCUCACAUCGACGGGGAGGUUUGGCACCUCGAUGUCGGCUCA